rnacentral:rRNA from 1 species
UACGAAGGGACCUAGCGUAGUUCGGAAUUACUGGGCUUAAAGAGUUCGUAGGUGGUUGAAAAAGUUAGUGGUGAAAUCCCAGAGCUUAACUCUGGAACUGCCAUUAAAACUUUUCAGCUAGAGUAUGAUAGAGGAAAGCAGAAUUUCUAGUGUAGAGGUGAAAUUCGUAGAUAUUAGAAAGAAUACCAAUUGCGAAGGCAGCUUUCUGGAUCAUUACUGACACUGAGGAACGAAAGCAUGGGUAGCGAAGAGGAUUAGAUACCCUCGUAGUCCAUGCCGUAAACGAUGUGUGUUAGACGUUGGAAAUUUAUUUUCAGUGUCGCAGCGAAAGCGAUAAACACACCGCCUGGGGAGUACGACCGCAAGGUUAAAACUCAAAUGAAUUGACGGGGACCCGCACAAGUAGUGGAGCAUGUGGUUUAAUUCGAAGAUACGCGCAGAACCUUACCAACACUUGACAUGUUCGUCGCGACUCUAAGAGAUUAGAGUUUUCGGUUCGGCCGGACGAAACACAGGUGCUGCAUGGCUGUCGUCAGCUCGUGUCGUGAGAUGUUGGGUUAAGUCCCGCAACGAGCGCAACCCUCACUUUUAGUUGCCAUCAUUAAGUUGGGCACUCUGAAAGAACUGCCAGUGAUAAGCUGGAGGAAGGUGGGGAUGACGUCAAGUCCUCAUGGCCCUUACGUGUUGGGCUACACACGUGCUACAAUGGUAUCUACAACAGGAAGCAAGACUGCGAGGUUAAGCAAAUCCUUAAAAGAUACCUCAGUUCGGAUUGCACUCUGCAACUCGAGUGCAUGAAGCUGGAAUUACUAGUAAUCGUGGAUCAGCGUGCCACGGUGAAUGCGUUCCCGGGUCU